rnacentral:rRNA from 1 species
CAGCAGCCACGGGAAUACGUAGGGUGCGAGCGUUGUCCGGAAUUAUUGGGCGUAAAGAGCUUGUAGGCGGUCUGUCGCGUCUGCUGUGAAAACCCGAGGCUCAACCUCGGGCCUGCAGUGGGUACGGGCAGACUAGAGUGCGGUAGGGGAGAACGGAACUCCUGGUGUAGCGGUGGAAUGCGCAGAUAUCAGGAAGAACACCGAUGGCGAAGGCAGUUCUCUGGGCCGUAACUGACGCUGAGAAGCGAAAGCGUGGGGAGCGAACAGGAUUAGAUACCCCAGUAGUCCCUGUCUCUUAUAC